GCCAAGGUAGCUCAGUUGGUUAGAGCGGGCGUUUCAUACGCGCUAGGUCGGCGGUUCGACUCCGCCCCUUGGCACCA
rnacentral:tRNA from 1 species